CGGCCGCCUCUUCUCCUCCACCUCUGCCUCCACCACCUCCUCCUCCACUGCCUCUACACAAGCCAGGCUGUGAGCUCGGGCCGGACGGAGAGCUGGUGGCCGGCGGCAAGGAGUGGAAAAAUAUCUCCUCUAUCUCCCUCAUCCCACCUCCCUCUCGGCCGCCUCUUCUCCUCCACCUCUGCCUCCACCACCUCCUCCUCCCCUGCCUCCACACAGGCCAGGCUGUGAGCUGGUGGCCGGCGGCAAGGAGUGGAGGACAUGGCGGGGCGCGCGGCGGUGCGGAGAGGCAGAAGUCGCCGUCUCUGUUGGUCGACGAUGGAGAAACGGCCGCAGCCGAGGAGGAUAGCCAUGGAGGGGAGGGCGCGGCCUCGAUCCGGAUGAGGGGAGCAGGAGCUGCGCCCCUCUUCUUCGCGCGCAGUGGCCGGGGGCCUCGGCUAGGAGCUUCACCCUCUUAUUCGCGCGCGGUGCAGCGGUGACCUGAGGACGAGUUGAGGUAUAGUGGUGGUUCCAACACACGUUGCAGGGGGAGGCGGCGGUGCUUCCUUGCCUCGUCUGUUCCCCCACCCCCCUCCCGCAUCUCCUCUGCCAUGGGUGCGGAGGCGAGCUUCCCGGCGAUGGCGGCGGCGCUGGAUUCGAUCUGCAGGAGAGAGAGGGAGGUGCGUCUUCGAAUGGGAGAGGGUCUCCGCCGGCGUCGGCCUGCACCGGCGACCUCGCCUUCCAGGGCGGCUUGACUACAGUCUACAGAUAGGAGAACAAAUAAAUAGGACCAAGAAAAUUAGUUGCUCGUAUAUUAAUGUGUCGCGGAGAGAAGUACCCGAUUGGAGAAAUUUGGUAUGCCGAGUAAUCUGCAGACCGUAUGCGGAGGCUGACGAAUGGGGAAGGUGGAGAGGAGUGGCGGAUCCGCCUCCUCGGCAUGGCUCUCGUUCCUUCGGCUGUUGCUUACGGUUGAGGUUCGAUGCCGCCCUCGUUUUGCUUUUUGCAUGGCCCUGUUAACUUUGCUUUGGCUUACGUCGUGCUGUUCUGUUUUCCUCUUUUACUUCUCCUUCCCUUGCUGGUGCAAGAUCGUCCAGUACGUUGUUCAUCCUUCGGCUUGCUGCUCGGGCUGAUGGUUCGUGCGACAUCCAUGCUGUUAACCAACAAGUGAAGAACUGAAAUACCUGAAGAGAACAUCAGGAGGCGAUGCUAGAAGCUUGCUUGUGUGCUAGCUGUUGUUGCGAUUCGAAGGAAUUUGCAAGUUCUCACUGAAUGGAAAAAAGACGCACUAUGAUGAGAGAUGACUAAAUAUUCAUACGACUUUGAAUGUUGUUCUGUAACCGAUGACUCAAAGUGAUUAUACACUGAAACCCUUUUUGAAAAUGAAACAGAAACCUUACUUGAGAGCAGGCAGAGGCGUGGAGCCAAUGGUGAUGUUGUUGCCUGCUCUUCUAAACUGCCGCUUGUUCAUCGUUUGCUGUUUUGCCUAUCAAGGAAGGUAACUACUCGAAGCAAUUGGCGAGACAAGCAUUCGAUGGAGCUCAAAGCGUUGAUCUUGAAGGAAGGUAACUACUCAAAGGUCUUUGCGCCAUUUGGCGCAACUGGUCAUCUAGUGUGGAGGAAAGGACACCACCUACACCCGAACAUCUACAGCCGGUGUUACACCCAUAUCCGAGGAAUACUCUUCGGACGAUUGACCCGGUAAAGGUGAAAAGGAGUGGGCGAUGGUGUCUAUCAAGUGCCGAGGAACCGGCAAAAUCUGAGGACGCAAAUAUGAUGGAGUAUUGGCGUCAGGCUAUGAAAGAAGAGUUGAGGUCGAUCCACGACAAUAAUGCGUGGGAGCUUGUGGAUCUUCCCAACAAUGAAAAAGCUAUGGAGCUCAAGUGGGAAUUUAAUGUCAAGAAAGAUGUUGAAGGGUGCAUGAAGCACAAAGCGAGGUUUGUAGCCAAAGAGUAUGUACAAAAGGAAGGUGUGGACUUCGAAGAAUUGUUCGUUCCUAUUACAAAGAUGGAGUCGGUGAGAUUACUUAUCGCUCUGGCGGCUCAAGAAUCAUGGAAAAUACAUCACAUGGCAUGAAAUAUUGCAAUCCAUUUGACGCUCCAAUGAAACCUCAUCUUGAGCUAAGCAAGAAGAGCAAAUUUAAAGCACCCACAGUUAAUGCAAUAGAGUAUAUUGCAGCUGCAGCUGCGAUGUGUCAAGUUGUGUGGCUAGGGAGGCUACACGAUGAUCUCAUGGAUCGAGAUCGAAACAAGUGGUGCUCAAUGUUGAUGGAAAGUCUAAAACUUUUUUAUGCGAAGAACCAGUGCGGCAUGAUAGGAGUAAGCACAUUGAUACGGUGUAUCACUAUAUAAUGGACUGCGUGGAAGAAGGUAAGAUGAAGGUCAACUACGUUUGCAUCGAUGAUCAGAUGGCGGAUAUGCUAACCAAGACUUUGGAUCGAAAGAAGUUCUUGGAGAUGAGAAGAAGGAUCGAUGUUGAAGCUGUGAUGUGACCACGUCGUGAUUAGGGGGGGGGGGGG